AGGACGAACGCUGGCGGCGUGCUUAACACAUGCAAGUCGAGCGAGGCUCUUCCUUCGGGGAGAUGCCCUAGCGGCGAACGGGUGAGUAACACGUGGGCAACCUGCCCCUAGCACUGGGAUAACUCCGGGAAACCGGGGCUAAUACCAGAUAUGACCUUUGAGGGCAUCCUCUUUGGUGUAAAGGAUUCUGGCUAGGGAUGGGCCCGCGGCCUAUCAGCUUGUUGGUGGGGUAAUGGCCCACCAAGGCGACGACGGGUAGCCGGCCUGAGAGGGCGACCGGCCACACUGGGACUGAGACACGGCCCAGACUCCUACGGGAGGCAGCAGUGGGGAAUAUUGCACAAUGGGCGAAAGCCUGAUGCAGCGACGCCGCGUGAGGGAUGACGGCCUUCGGGUUGUAACCUCUUUCAGCAGGGACGAAGCGAAGUGACGGUACCUGCAGAAGAAGCACCGGCCAACUACGCGCCAGCAGCCGC
rnacentral:rRNA from 1 species